AUUUAUUUGUUCUCGAAAUAUAUGUUCUUUCUCCUUCCUCGAAAUUUUCGAAAUAUCGUUCGUCGUUAUAUUAACGUUAUUAAUUUGUAUCAUCGACUUCGAUAAAACAUCAUUUACUUAUCAACUGUGUUACGUACGAACAUAAUAAAUUCUUUUCGCUUAAUCACAGGUUGGUAAUAAAAUCAGAAAAUCAACAAAAAGAUACAUAUUCAUCGUGGUUUCCUCCUGUGAUCUUUAUACCUUGGUCUUAUAUCCUGUGAUCGUUGGUAAUUCUUUCAACGAAGGAAAGUAAAUUUCAGUGGCACGUAGAUUAAACUCGCGUACCGGAAUAAAUGGCUGUGUACACAGAACAAAGUUAUCAAACGCUGAAAAGGAGACAAACAUAUACUGUUGAUCGACCUUAAGAGAAGCAUGCGAUUCUCUGGAGGAAAUUACACGUAACAGAGUACAGUAAGAACACAAAUCACUUAUACUAAAACGCAAAUAUUCGAACAAAAUUCGAUAAUAACGAACGCACACGAAAAGAUAAAAAUAAGGAGGAUUACUAGCGGCAGACAGUCUAAGUCCAAUUCUCUUUCCAUCAUCUACGAUAUCAUAGAAUUUUUCAAACAUAAGGAAGCAUAAGAAGAUAGAGGAAAAAACGAAGCUACUCUUAUUCGCAGAUGAUAUGGUAAUAAGGAACGAUCCAAUAGAAAUACAAGAAAAGAUUUUCUCCUCUGACAGAGAACGCAUGAAACGAAUAACCCGCGUAAAUCGAGGCACGGGUAUACUUGCAAGUAUCACUUUCUUAUUUCGAUUAAUUGAUAUUAAUGAUCAAAUUCCAUCAAUGUCUACUAACCGUAUACGAUAGCCCGGGAUAAAAACAGAGGAAAACAUUAUAUCAAAGGGUUUCGUUCGUAAUAUAUUUAAUAUACAUUUGCAAUAAUCUGGAAGUACCCAAAUAUUAUUAUGCACGGUAGCGUGUGAUCGACACAAGUCAAAAGAAAUUGCGAACACUUCGUAUUCAGACAAAGUUUACGUUCUUACAAAAUUGUGCAAUCGAUACAUAUAGGGUGGGUUGCAUGUUGAAAUCGUUUUGUAAUGUCUGCCAUUGUGCUCGAUACCUUGAUCCCUUUUCACCCCGGCCAUAAUACGCAGAAAGUUAGUCAUGAGUGAAAAUAUGAUCGAUGGAAACAAUUUGUAUAUUUAUUGUAAAUGAUCGAUCGCCAUCGAUAUACAUAAUAAGUAAGCUUUCUGUCAUAGAAUGAAUCGCGUACUUGGUCUCGAAUUAAAAAGCAAAUAUCAUCAUCACUUCGAUGAAGUAAUGACUUUCUUCGUUUCCUAAUUACUAAUCUAUUUUCUCUUUUUUUUCGCGAUAAGAUUACAUAAAUUCUGCUCAUAAUGACGUCUAUGGUAUGAUAUGAACCUAAUCGCAAUCUAACCAUGGAUGAAAUAAGUGAUAUACAAACUGUUUCUUCCUGCGACAUUUCUUUUUUGUUGCAACACAAUUAUUUGGCAAUCUGUUAAUCAAUUCUAAAAUAAAAAUAUCUACUAAUAAAUUAACACUAAAUUACGCACAGUGAUUUUGCAAGAAAAUUUCUUAUAUCGCAAGGCUAUACAUAAUUCGGUUACUUAGAUAAAACUGUUGCAGUGACAAAAUAUUCAAAAUAUUCAGUGAUAAACUAUUUGUACGAUCAAAGUUCUCUGGCAGCAUCAAGUGCAAUUUCAUUUCAUUUUGUGUUUUACAUUCACCGCGAUACAGAUUAGUAAUAGUAUUAAAUUAAAUAAAAA